UGCGGGGUGGACCAGUAGUAGGUCGCCAGUCUCAUAAGCUGGAGGCCCAGGUGCAAUUCCUGGCCCCGCAAC
rnacentral:tRNA from 1 species